rnacentral:rRNA from 1 species
AUACGGAGGAUGCGAGCGUUAUCCGGAUUUAUUGGGUUUAAAGGGAGCGUAGGUGGGAUAUUAAGUCAGCUGUGAAAGUUUGGGGCUCAACCUUAAAAUUGCAGUUGAUACUGGUUUCCUUGAGUACGGUAUAGGUGGGCGGAAUUCGUGGUGUAGCGGUGAAAUGCUUAGAUAUCACGAAGAACUCCGAUCGCGAAGGCAGCUCACCGGGCCGGAACUGACACUGAUGCUCGAAAGUGCGGGUAUCAAACAGGAUUAGAUACCCUGGUAGUCCGCACAGUAAACGAUGAAUACUCGCUGUUUGCGAUACACUGUAAGCGGCCAAGCGAAAGCGUUAAGUAUUCCACCUGGGGAGUACGCCGGCAACGGUG